AGCUGGACCCACAACAACAACCUGAAAAUGUCAACAAUGCUGCAGGAAGCGAUCUCAUGCAGCAGAGACGGAGAGCGUUAAAACCAAGGCCCGUUUCACUACACGGGGGAAAAUUCUCAGACAGCUUCAGCUGACAGAGCUGUGACGAGACGCCCGCCAAGCCCGAAUGAAAAGUAAGGCCGAGCAAAGGAAUGCUGACCUUAACAACUCUGCAUUAACACUGUGCAGGACAGUGAUGGACCAACACGGAUGAUCGGGCAGCAAAAAGGGCGUGACCGAGACAGGAGGAGUAACUGAGGUCAGAAGGCACCUCAGAAUGGACAAAAACACAGAAGAAGAUGCAGGUUUCACCUGCGGUGAGCAUGGACACUGGAGAAAGGACUGCCCCAAUUGGGGUCAGAACCAGGAUGGACAGAACUUUGAGCAGCAGCAGCAGCAAUGGUCGCAAACAGACUGAAAAGGAGGAGGGCAGGACCCCAGGGCACGCUUCUGGUGUCUUGUUUUACCCAAGACACCAGAACAGGGAAGUGAUGAACACACACACACACACACACACACGUCUACACACACACCGAUUCAGAAUGAAGUGAAAUACACACAUGAACACAUGUGCACUCGUUGAUUGAGUGAGAAAUGACACACACACACACCUAAAUUGAAAUGCUGAGUCACUGAGAAGUGAUGCACACACAUAUACAUGCACACGCUUGUGCAAUGAAGAGUGAUGCGCACACACACACACACACACACACACAUGCUGAUGCAAUGAAGAAUGCUUUGCUAACAAAUGCUUAUGCUGAUAUGCAAAAUGCUGCACACAAACAUCCCAAUACAUAAUCUUUAUGAGGAGCCAUUGAUUACUUAGAAUGUGUUUUAUGACACCCAGAGGACAUUUAUGUAGAUUUAAGGAAUAAGGUCUAAAACAGUUUGGUUAUGAAAACAGUGUCUGUGCGUGGUGUCUGUUUAUGGCUCAAGGCCUUGAUUGAAUUGUUUAUUGUGCUUCACAUAGCCCUGGGGAGGAACAGUGGCACAGAGUGAAAAUGAUGAAUUAAUGGAGUAAGUUUUAGGUCGGAGUACCGCAUUUUCUGUGAUUGAGAUUUAAUUCAAGGAGGAACGAAAGGUGUUACGGUACCUGAGGUUCUUGUUCCCACACAAUAUUGUCCCAGGAGAAGCAAAAAAAUUUCUGUGAAUUUCUGGUUGAUUUUUGGGUUUUUGCUUGGCGCUAGCUUGAUUUUAUCAGUGAGCUUUGGGUUGUGUUCUUUCUCUAAGAGAGAGACAUGUCCCGUUCUCUAAGAGACGGGACAUGUCCAAGCAUGGCCCUAGUAUGUGUUAUUUUAGUAGUAUUUUGUUGGUUACGUCUGUUUUCGUUUUUGUUACAGUGCACUGAGAUAAGAAAAUCUGAGAGGUAUGAUCCACCGGUGAUAAAUGUUGAUAUUUUGUGAGUCCAUGAUUUAACAAUCAGCUCUUUAAACCAGGCCUGGAAGAUUGAAAUUUAAAGCGCUAUGAAAUAUUCUUACGGAAAACAGUUGCAAAGUGUGUUUCUCCAUGAUUAUAAUGGGCUUGGGAGAAAUUCACUUAUAUGGGACACUGAUCACAUGAGAAGUCCUGAGUCUAAAAGGAUUGCAGCGAGUCAAUCCAGAACAAAAGAACAAAGAAUUGUUUCCUUUUAAAAUGAUGACGUCAUCUUGCUGUGUACCACCACAUGGACUAUUUGGCAGGUUCCUCUGCCAAUGCAGACAUUGCAGGCCGAGCUACAACGUUCAGUGCAUUAUUUCAGAAUAUUCUUUUCAUUACAGCCACUUAUGCAAUUUUUAUUGACUUUAUAUUUUUUAAGAAUCUUGAUCAUCAAUGUUCUAGGUGACUAAAUUUUAUUGUUGUAUCAUACAGGUUAAGAAAUCAAUGGAAGAUGCCACUUCUGUGGCCUUUUACUAUUUUAUUGUAAAUGUGUUCAGUGGCAUUAGUAAGUUUAGCCUCCUACUUCAGAGGAAUGAUAUUAUCCUACCACAGGUAAGGGAGAUGAAGUAGGAUGUGUAAAUUUGAAUUGUGUUUGUGGUCAUCUUCAACUGUUUUAAUAAUACUGCACUGUUAUACCUAAACAGGCUGUUUGCAACCUGGAACAACUGCUGGUGACCACAGAGGAGAUGGUUGCAAGAACAAGACUGUCUGUCGGGAACUGUUUUUAUCAUUUCAUAUUUCAAAACUCAGACUAAUGGUGUCAAAGUCUGAACUUAUUCAUGCUUUUAUUUCUUCCCGUUUAGACUACUGUAAUAGUCUUUUUACUUGUUUUAACAAAUCAUCCUUAAAUCGUCUUCAGACUGUGCAGAAUGCUGCAGCACGUCUCUUAAUCAAGCACCAAGAGAAGGUCUCAUAUUACUCCAGUUUUAGCCUCAUUUCACUGGUUGCCUGUAAGUUUUAGGUUUAAUUUUAAAAUUUUAGUUCUAACCUUUAGGGCCGUACAUGGUCAAGCUCCCCAAUAUUUAUCUGACCUACUGAAAUCGCAUUCAUUUUCCUGAGCUUUAUGGUCAUUAUAUCAGAGACUGCUGGUGGUACCGCGCACUCGUUUUAAAACUCGUGGUGAUUGGGCCUUUCAGACAAGGCAAGGCAAGUUUAUUUGUAUAGCACAAUUCAACAACAAGGUGAUUCAAAGUGCUUAUAGACAGUGGUACUACGGUUGUGGAAUUCUCUUCCACUGUCUCUACGCUGUACAAACUCCAUUGGUUCUUUUAAAAACAGCUGAAGACAUUUUUAUAUAGAAAAGCUUUUGAUUAAUUUGUUCUUACGUUGUUGAUUUUUUUUUUUAUAGAGGAGGCAGCAGCAUGAAGAGGGUGAAAUGGCAAUCUACAAAUUCCAGAGAGUGCUUCUGAGUCAGCCACAACCAAAGCUGUCACUUGCUUCAACAUUUUCAAUCAUGAUAGCUGCCCAGAGAACCAAGAGAUUUAGUGGACCAUGGUGCUGAUGACCUUGCAUUUCUCCUGGAUCACUUCUCCACAGUCAAGAAAAGAAAUGGUGUAAACACAGAGCUUGCAAAAGAAGAGUUUAUAAGUUUGAAGCUGUUAAUUGCCAGGAUGUUUUGGGAGCUCAUGUUGAGCAGAGAGCCGUACUGCUCAGAGUACAAGCUUUGGUAUGUGAAAGAGGGUUCUCUGCACAGAAGAAUUAAAUCAGACACAAGAACAUCCCUUCAUUCAGAGACAGUGGAUGACCUGAUAAGAAUAAGUGUGGAGGGGCCAAGUCUGAAAGAUUUUGAAGCUAGAGAGAGUGUGGCAAGCUGGUUCACCCAAGGCGAAAGAUCAAGAAGGCCAAAUUACAGGAGUUGGCCAUCUGAGGGGCAUGUGGCUGCAAUGGAAGACAGUCCAUAAGAUAUCAAGCUGUUCAGAUAUUGAAAUGUUCAGUGUGAAGCCUUUGACACUUUGAGGGACUUUUGAUUUUUUUUUUUUUUCAACUGAAUAUAUCUUGAGAUGUUUUAAGUUUAAAUUUCAGCUCGGUGAAGCACUUUAAGCACAAGCACAUUUAAAGUUAUCUUUCUUGUAGAACUUUGCUACAAAUAAAGAGCUUUGUGUUGAAAGGUUGUUAGUUAAUCAUUUACAAAUCAAUAUUGUCUGUAUGGACAGCAAAUUUUCUCAUCUCGACCUCCUUCUCCGGUGCCAGCUAUGCAAGUCAAGGACACGGUGGUUGCUCCGCGGCCCUCCCCCAGGGAGCCGGAAUGGGUGUGGGCUCCUGCUGGGCACCAGGCACUUCCACCCUGUCAUGGUCCCCGUGGCAGGCCAUGGCAAUGUGGGGAAUGUUAACACAAUAAAUCCCAGUGCGUUCCCUCAACUCCUGUGUCGUGUCUUCUGCCAAAAGUCCGUGUUUUGUGCUCUCCACUUCUUCGUUUCCGCACACCAGUGAGAGUGGUGGCGGUGUCGGCCAGGACCGGAUCUGAGCUGCCACACUCGCAAUCCACUGCAUCCAGCGUCAUAACAUAACAAAAAUAACCCCAAAAACAGUCCUAUUGAGCUCAAUAUUCCAGUUGUCCUUUUUUGGUCAUUAUUCAGGUCAGGAUUCCUUAUUAGUCCAGUUCUUUUUUUCUUUUUUUUUUCCUUGGUUUUGUGAUUUGUGUGUUACCACUUUGAUGCCUCUCUUAAGGGAGAAGAAUGAGUUCUUCAGCAACAGUUCAGUCUGGGCACAGGUGAUUAGGAAAAGACCUUCAGAAUUUUUUGACAUUUGGAAGAUGUUUUUUGGAACUAUUAAAAAUGGGGAAGUUGACGAAGUGGAGAUAGAGUGAGGUAAUGAAAACUAUGUACAGUAACUAAAUUUGGGAAUGUACACAGUAACCUGUACUGUUUUUGUUUUUUUGUUUGUUUGUUUUUUGAGUGUCUUGUGUUUUUAUUGCUUUUAUCCUGCCAUAUGUGCCAUAGAAUGUAUAUGAAUACAAAAUCCAAUGAAAAAGGUGUUGUUUUUUUUUAAAGCUACACUUUAGCUGUUUGACGUGGCUCAUGGACCAAGUAGCCAUCCAUUUUACCUGAAUCCUUGAAUCUCUCCCUUCCUAAUUAUGUGACUCCCUCUAUUCAGUGGCCAGGGUUCCUAUGGGUCAUUCAGUGGGUUGUUCAGCAGGUUGUAAAAGUGGGCCCAUUCAUUUCUUAUGGCGGUCAUGUUGAACCGGAAACACCACAGAUGUAACAAAGUUGAGUGAAACACUCAAAAUUCAACGAAAGAGGUGCUCAUCACUUUUAUAUGUUCAAGUGCACAGUGUGGAGGAUGUCGUAAGGCUUUGAGGCAAUCGGAUAUAAAACACAAUAAUUAUAAGUUUUGUUAAUUUGUAAAUCAGUCAGAUUUGACCCUAAAAUUGUUUCUUUACAGACCUUUACAGUAAUGUCAUUACUUGUGAAUCAAAAAAUUGCAAAAUCCUGAAAACAUAACAAAGCUAUGUGGCAUGCUGUACCAGCUAGUGUACCAAAGUUUGGUAGAAGAUGCUAACAGGAAGUUUCACAUUAGACAUGAAAACCAAAGACGUGUUUGUGUGCGAUGUGUGCUUAAACCACAACUUGUUCCAUUCACACCAUCUCUGCUUCAGGUGUUUAUUUUGAUCUAUGAUGAAACAAUAUAACACAGAUCUACUGAUAGAAUGUAAGAGAAAGAGAUGUGGUUAAAGUACACAGCAAAAUCUCCAGUGUUAAAUUAACACUAGAGUGUC